UACGUAGGGUGCGAGCGUUGUCCGGAAUUAUUGGGCGUAAAGAGCUCGUAGGCGGCCUGUCGCGUCGGAUGUGAAAGCCCGGGGCUUAACCCCGGGUCUGCAUUCGAUACGGGCAGGCUAGAGUUCGGUAGGGGAGAUCGGAAUUCCUGGUGUAGCGGUGAAAUGCGCAGAUAUCGGGAAGAACACCAGUGGCGAAAGCGGCUCUCUGGGGACCAUCUGACGCUGAGGCGCGAAAGCGUGGGGAGCGAACCGG
rnacentral:rRNA from 1 species